UACGGGGGGGGCAAGCGUUGUUCGGAAUUACUGGGCGUAAAGGGCUCGUAGGCGGCCAACUAAGUCAUACGUGAAAUCCCUCAGCUUAACUGGGGAACUGCGUGUGAUACUGGAUGGCUUGGAUUUGGGAGAGGGAUGCGGAAUUCCAGGUGUAGCGGUGAAAUGCGUAGAUAUCUGGAGGAACACCGGUGGCGAAGGCGGGUUGCUGGGCUGACACUGACGCUGAGGCGCGAAAGCCAGGGGAGCGAACGGG
rnacentral:rRNA from 1 species